UGCGUCGUAGCCAAGCGGUUAAGGCAGGGUCCUUUGAAGUCCCGAUUGCGAAAGUUCGAUUCUUUCCGGCGCAA
rnacentral:tRNA from 1 species